rnacentral:rRNA from 1 species
GGAGGGUGCGAGCGUUGUCCGGAAUCACUGGGCGUAAAGGGCGCGUAGGUGGCCCGUUAAGUGGCUGGUGAAAUCUCGGGGCUCAACUCCGGGGCUGCCGGUCAGACUGGCGAGCUAGAGCACGGUAGGGGCAGAUGGAAUUCCCGGUGUAGCGGUGGAAUGCGUAGGUAUCGGGAAGAAUACCAGUGGCGAAGGCGUUCUGCUGGGCCGUUGCUGACACUGAGGCGCGACAGCGUGGGGAGCAAACAGGAUUAGAUACCCUGGUAGUCCACGCCGUAAACGAUGGACACUAGACGUCGGGGGGAGCGACCCUCCCGGUGUCGUCGCUAACGCAGUAAGUGUCCCGCCUGGGGAGUACGGCCGCAAGGCUG